rnacentral:rRNA from 1 species
UGGCGCACGGGUGAGUAAUAUAUAGCUAACUUGCCCAUUACUAAGGGACAACAGUUGGAAACGACUGCUAAUACCUUAUACUCCGUAUCUAUAUAAGUAAAUACGGGAAAGUUUUUCGGUAAUGGAUAGGGCUAUAUCGUAUCAGCUAGUUGGUAAGGUAACGGCUUACCAAGGCUAUGACGCGUAACUGGUCUGAGAGGAUGAUCAGUCACACUGGAACUGAGACACGGUCCAG